rnacentral:piRNA from 1 species
GGAUAUUAUUGGAAGAUGUCGUGGGUAAG